GUGAGGAAUAUUGGGCAAUGGGCGAAAGCCUGACCCAGCCACGCCGCGUGAGUGAUGAAGGCCUUCGGGUUGUAAAGCUCUGUGGGGAGGGAAGAAAAAGCGCAGGAGUAACUGCCUGUGUGUUGACGGUACCUCCUUAGCAAGCACCGGCUAACUCUGUGCCAGCAGCCGCGGUAAUACAGAGGGUGCAAACGUUGCUCGGAAUUACUGGGCGUAAAGCGCGUGUAGGCUGACAUGCAAGUCGGGUGUGAAAUCCCAGGGCUCAACCUUGGAACUGCACUCGAAACUGCACGUCUUGAGUACUGGAGAGGGAAGCGGAAUUCCGGGUGUAGAGGUGAAAUUCGUAGAUAUCCGGAGGAACACCAGUGGCGAAGGCGGCUUCCUGGACAGUAACUGACGCUGAGACGCGAAAGCGUGGGGAGCAAACAGGAUUAGAUACCCUGGUAGUCC
rnacentral:rRNA from 1 species